GCGGCCACAUUUUUUUGUGUGCUUCCGGUCUUAUUAAACCUAAUAGAUUCUUAGAGCAAGUUCAAUGGUUAGAACCUAUUAUGGAUUCUAAUGAAUAAUUUAAUAGUUAAUUUUGUGAUUUGAGGAGUUUAGAACCUUUCUUAGAGUAAUUAAUUUUUUUUGGAUCCAAUGAGAGAAUCUCUUUGAGGUUUUUAAUUUUUUUUUAAUAGAAGUUGAAUGAUUGGAUUUUGUUUUUGAAUGAUUAAAUUUAAUAACAUAAAAAAGCAUACAUAAGAAGUUUAAAUAAAAAUGACAUCAUCGUAGGAGAAAAUGGGGUGAUCUAGAUUGGAGGAGGAAAGAGAGAGACAUAAAUGGGAGGUCGAAUAAGAACGUGACAUGUAAGGCUCUUAACACCUCUAAAAAUCCUAAAAUAGACACCGGUUCUUGCUCCUUUAUCCUUUUUUAUUUAUUUUUUUCUUGUUUUUUUUAGAAUAUGCCUUAAGAGACACUGAUGGAGGUGGUCUUAUGAUGGCAAGGAGGCAUGGUUGGCGCUGGG
rnacentral:lncRNA from 1 species